UCUUCCGUCGUAAACUGGUUAGUAUAGGGGCUUCUCAACUUGAGUGUGACCAGCGCCCUUGACCUGGGUUCGAAUUCCGGCGGGAGAG